GUUGAUACCGGAGUCUUUGGUCUCAACAACAAUGCUAUCCUCAAGCUCAACCUUAGCUUCUUCUGUUGUUUCAGGUGUUUUUACUACUUCAGCUUCUGGUGCCAGUUCCUUUGCUUUCUCAGGCUGAGCCUCGGCUUUUUCAGAAGUCUCUGGCUUUGGCUCAACUUCAAGAACCUCAACAUCUACGGUCUCUACUGAUACUUCUUUAACAAGCUGAACAUCAAUUGGUUCCACCUGUUUGCC
rnacentral:lncRNA from 1 species